AUUGAACGCUGGCGGCAUGCCUUACACAUGCAAGUCGAACGGCAGCAUGGAGAGCUUGCUCUCUGAUGGCGAGUGGCGAACGGGUGAGUAAUGCAUCGGAACGUACCGUGUAAUGGGGGAUAACGUAGCGAAAGUUACGCUAAUACCGCAUACGACCUGAGGGUGAAAGCAGGGGAUCGCAAGAGCUUGCGUUAUACGAACGGCCGAUGUCAGAUUAGCUAGUUGGUGAGGUAAAGGCUCACCAAGGCGACGAUCUGUAGCGGGUCUGAGAGUAUGAGCCGCCACACUGGGACUGAGACACGGCCCAGACUCCUACGGGAGGCAGCAGUGGGGAAUUUUGGACAAUGGGGGCAACCCUGAUCCAGCCAUGCCGCGUGAGUGAAGAAGGCCUUCGGGUUGUAAAGCUCUUUCGGCCGGGAAGAAAUCGCACAGGCUAAUACCCUGUGUGGAUGACGGUACCGGCAUAAGAAGCACCGGCUAACUACAUGCCAGCCGCCGCCGUAA
rnacentral:rRNA from 1 species